UGGGUUUAUGGGGGAUGCCUUGGCGUCAAAAGCCGAAGAAGGGCGUAGCAAGUCUGCGAUAAGCCUCGGUUUGCUGACUAGCAAGCUUAGCCGGGGAUACCCGAAUGGGAAAACCUGAUCAUAUGAUCAACCUUUUUAAGGUAGGUAAGCAGGAGAACUGAAACAUCUAAGUAUCCUGAGGAAAAUAAAUCAAACGAGAUUCCCUGAGUAGCGGCGAGCGAAAUGGGAUCAGCCUAAACCGUGUGGGAUUUAUCCUGUGCGGGGUUGUAGGGCACUUUAUAUAGAAGUUACAAAAUGACAUUUUAGUAGAAUAGAUUGGAAAGUCUAACCAUAGAGGGUGAAAGUCCCGUAAACGAAAAAAUGUCAUCUUCUAAAGUGUUCCUGAGUACGACGGGACACGUGAAAUCUUGUCGGAAUCUGGGGGGACCACCCUCCAAGGCUAAAUACUUUUGACGACCGAUAGUGAACUAGUACCGUGAGGGAAAGGUGAAAAGAACCCCGAGAGGGGAGUGAAAUAGAACUGAAACCAUAAACCUACAAACCGUGGGAGCUUGUAUUUAUAUGAGUGACCGCGUGCCUAUUGAAGAAUGAGCCAACGAGUUACUUGGUACGGCAAGAUUAAGAAGUUAAGCUUUGAAGUCGAAGCGAAAGCAAGUCUGAAUAGGGCGAAUUAGUCGUGUCAAGUAGACCCGAAACCGUGUGAGCUACCUAUGGCCAGGUUGAAGCGAGAGUAAAAUCUUGUGAAGGACCGAACCCGUGUACGCUGCAAAGUGCUGGGAUGAGCUGUGGGUAGAGGUAAAAUGCCAAACGAACACGGAGAUAGCUGGUUCUCUCCGAAAUGUAUUUAGGUACAGCGUUAUGUAAUACUUCAUGGAGGUAGAGCACUGGAUAGACUAGGGGGCGCAAGCUUACCAAACCUAACCAAACUCCGAAUACCAUGAAGGGUAUCAUAGCAGUGAGACUGUGGGGGAUAAGCUCCAUUGUCGAAAGGGAAACAGCCCAGAUCGCAAGUUAAGGUCCCUAAGUAUAUGCUAAGUGUUAAACGAAGUAGGGUCGCCCAGACAGCCAGGAGGUUGGCUUAGAAGCAGCCAUCCUUUAAAGAGUGCGUAAUAGCCCACUGGUCAAGGGGCCCCGCACGGAAAAUAAACGGGGCUAAGCAUAUCACCGAGACUGCGGGAUCUAUUUAUAGAUCGGUAGGAGAGUGUCGUUAAAGCAUUGAAGCUAAGCUGUAAGGCUUGGUGGAGUUUUAACAAGUAAGAAUGUUGGCAUGAGUAGCAAAAAUGCCGGUGAGAAUCCGGCAGGCCGUAAGUCUAAGGAUUCCUACGCAACGUUGAUCGGCGUAGGGUUAGUCGGUCCUAAGGCGUAUCCGAAAGGAAAAGUCGAUGGACAGCUGGUGAAUAUUCCAGCACCUAUAAUUAAUUGUUUGAGUCAAAGGGGUGACGCAGAAAGAUAAACAGAGCAUACGUAUUGGACAUCGUGUGUUUUUGCCUGUAGAUGAGUAGAGAAGGUUAAAAUAUUUUCUACGUUUGAAUUGAGGGGUGAGAAAACUAUGAGGUUCGCCUCGUAGAAUUCUGUCGACUCUAAACUGCCAAGAAAAGCCUCGUUGAUUAGAUUUUUCAUAGACCGUACCGCAAACCAACACAGGUAGACAGGGAUAAACGUCCCAAGGCCAUCGAGAGAACCAUCGUUAAGGAACUCGGCAAAUUGACCCCGUAACUUAGGGAGAAGGGGGACCUUUUGUGUAUAUGAGUUUACCUCAAAAAGCAUGGAAGGUAGCAUAAAAUAGGCUGAAGCGACUGUUUACCAAAAACACAGGUCCAUGCCAAAGCGAAAGCUGAUGUAUAUGGGCUGACGCCUGCCCAGUGCCGGUAGGUUAAGGAAAGUUGUGCAAGCAACUGACUGAAGCCCCGGUGAACGGCGGCCGUAACUAUAACGGUCCUAAGGUAGCGAAGUCCCUUGUCGGGUAAGUUCCGACCCGCACGAAUGGCGUAACGACUUCAGCACUGUCUCAACGAUGGACUCGGUGAAAUUGCAGGACCGGUAAAGAUGCCGGUUACGCGCAGCAGGACAAAAAGACCCCGUGGAGCUUUACUGCAACUUGGCAUUGGUUCGAGUUUUAAAAUGUGUAGGAUAGGCGGGAGACUUUGAACUCUAGGCGUUAGCCUAGGGGGAGUCGCCCUUGAAAUACCGCCCUUUUUAUGAUUUGGACCUAACACUUUUGGACAGUGUCUGGUGGGCAGUUUGACUGGGGCGGUCGCCUCCCAAAGAGUAACGGAGG
rnacentral:rRNA from 1 species